CUGCAUUAAUUAUUCUGACAACAGCCGAGGGCCUACCCCAAACUGAAUGAUAAAAGUGACUGGAACUAGUUGAUUCAUCACCACGGUCAUUUUCUGUGGAGUAUAUGGCUGCUCAAACGAGGCCGGAAACACAAAGGGGGAAAAAUAUGUUUACAGAUUCCCCGCAAUCAUGAAACAUCAUUGGCAAUACCAAUGAGAUAAGACUCAAGAACUCAGAGAAGCGAAUAAACCUUUUUGCCCAUCAAGACCUCAACCCAGACAGCUGUCAAUACAGGGUUUGCUGCUACGAUCAUUUCAUCAUUGAUGGCCAAGGAAGUUGCACAGAACUUCCCCAACAUCCCAAAUUGAUAUGGAACCUUCAAAAACACACGGAGCAACUGCGGAAAGAAAUGGCUGAGGAUAGACAAAAAAUGUCUGUUCAACAAACCCACUGCUUCAUGUGUGACACUGAUAAAGACCCUGGAUGUGGCCCAAAGACGGACUGGGAAUGAAGACAAAAGAGUUCAACAGAGUGAAGAACACAAACUGGAAGUGCUGUCUUUGUUGUUAAAAAUUAGGUUCACCAGCUGACCUAUAUCAAGACACCCAUGUUGACUGGAUUCCCCUGUGAAGAUGAGUAAUGCUGCAGCAGCAUCAGUUUCUACUACUUCUUCAUCUUUUUCCAGACAUGAAAGAAGAGACUCCCCUCAGUUAUAUGACAUGGUUGUCAUAUGCUGUGCUUUGGACAAUUUGAAUGAUUCUGUUGUGUCAAUUGAGUAGAGCACCUUGUCAUGACAAAGUGCCCCCUUAAACUGUAUGAAUAUAAUGUAUUUGUUUAAAAGACUUGUUGAUAUUGUAAGCAUACUGUACUUUAAGCCAUGUUGUUGUCCAAGUGUAAAGACAUUUAUUUUGUCAUCUUUGCUUUGCCUAGCCCCAUUGAAUAAAAAUGAUUUCUUAUAGCCCAA